CGAAAUCGAUCAAGACAUUAAGACAUCCAAGCCGUCUGCACUGACUGCUUUGCCUCCUCAAAUUCAGAUUUUCUUUCAGAUCUCAAAGAUCAAAAUAUGAGAGUGACUUUUUUUUAGCAGAGGCAGCACUAACAGCAUCCAGCACUUCUUGCAGAUCAAAAUACUGCCAAACUGCACCAUGCUGAGAUGCUACCAGUCAUCAGCUGUCUUUACAACUUGGUAGAACAUUAAAGAAUGAUGGUAGUAGC